AGCCCUGUGGUGUAGUGGUCCAUCAUACCAGGUUUUGGACCUGGUGACCCUGGUUCGAAUCCGGGCAGAGCUACCA
rnacentral:tRNA from 1 species